GCUACGGUCCGCGGAUCCCGCGAGGAACCGCCGAGUCUUGUGUCGAAGAUAAUUAUUAUCCGGCGGUGCGCGCGUACAACAGCGAGAUAGAAGGGGGCAAAGCGGAGGGAGGAGGGAAAGGAAGCUCGUUUCGAAAAGAGCGAAAAUUAAAUUGCGUCUUAACACGUGAGUCGACGAGGCGUAUAGUUAAGACCGAGCAAGGUUAAAAGGAGCCGGUUAACACAGUUGUAAGAGCCCGCUAUCAACGAUCCGCGAUAUACCCGUUCUGCGCGUUACGGGAGUAAAAGAGAAACUUGAGAAAAUACAAAGAUGCAUCUGAAAGUAAUUUAUGCAGAACGCUCCGAAGUCGGACGAUCGAGCUCCCGCCGGUAUACUCCGUGUAUGAGUGGAAUAGCAGGAAACUGAGAAGAUAGUUUUUGCAAGUAUUUUGUAGUGUCAGUAGCGAUAAACUUACAUACAUAUCGCUACUACUAUACAUUGUUUGGAUCAAGAGGAUGCUAAAGUCGAUGACGAACUUGAUAAGCGUCGUUAACGCAGAAGCGAUCGUCGAAACGUUUAUGUCACUAUAAACACUGAUACGAUCACGCUUUCUAUAUUUCUGAUAGAUUUUAUGUAAUUGAAGCUGGCGGAUCCCCAUUUGAUAAAAUGACGGCGGAUUUGAGUCGAAGAAGUUUUUAACUCCUUGUAUUAUGAUUUAAGUCAUGACGGCGCGUGUCACAAUCAAUGACAGAGUCGCUCAUGCGUUGACCCAUGUAGCUGUUCGGCCAUGCGCCGAAACUAUUAAAUUUCCUUUUUGAAGGCAUUAUAUAAGGGUUUUUUUUACUAUUUUUUUACUUAUAUUUUUUUAGUUAUGUUUGUAUAUGCUAUUUUCAAUCGAAGGUGAUCGGUUUCGAUAAUUGUGCGAGCUUUUGUCAGGCUUGAAAUAUAGUACAAUUUGGUAUACAAAUGUCACGAGUGUCACAAAUGUCUCGAACAAAGAAUACACGAGUGUGAUUUUUGACAAAAGGUGGACAAGUUGGGGAGGACUGUUUGGCUGCUGCGACUACCAAAAAUCGUAUACUGCUAAAUUUUUAUUUGCGGAGAACAGUGAAAGAUGAAAAAGGUAGUGCAUUGUACAAAAGUCGAUUCGCGGCAAGAACUGAUGGACAGAAUCAGUGAUACGUUUUAUGAAAUAAAGUAAGAUAGAGAUAAAAUUCAUAGAGGGAUUAAAAUUAAAUCUUCCGAUGUCAAGCUUGUA